UUUAAUGCCCAAUUGUAAUCAUCUUUGUUGUCAACUCCCUGGUCAACUGUCUUAUGGUACUGUUAAUUGCUACAAAUGCAGACACUGCUUCUAUUAAUAGUUCAGAGGAUGCAUAUUUAUGAUCUCUUUUUAGAAAUUAGUAAAUCUGACAUGACUAAAAUGAGCUAGUGUUACAGCUUUGUGGUAUAGGAGAAAAGGUUCAGCAGGGCUGGUUAUUCCAUAGCCAGUACAUUUCUGCUUCUGAAGGCAGAAACCCUUCUGGUUUGCAUCUCUCUGCUGGAAGUGGCAAUCAGCAUGUGGCAUAUACUCCAUUCUCUAUGCUCUAAGGAGCUCAUGGGCUGCAUGGAAUAAUGAAGAAAGUUAUCUUUGAAAACAGUCACGUAGAGCAUGAAAAGAAUCAGGGGAGGACAAAUCUAAAUUUAAAGGCAAGUAAGUGUCUUAAUUAAAAGGUAUCAAUAUAUCGGUAAUUCUAGUGAAUUUUGUCAGAUUACAAGACUUCUUUAUUUACUGUCUGCUUCAUAGAAGUUACAUUUGAUUAAAACAGUUGUACCUGAGAAGAAGAGCAUCAAGCUUCUGUAUCCAGUAUUGCCACCUUGUUUGAUCCCAAUUCUUGUUUUACCUGGUGCUUUCACUAAACCUCACCUGCAAGAAUGAGAAGAACUAACACUGUUCAGUGUUUUGGGGUUUUUUAUUUUGUUGUUCUUGGUUGGGGUUUUCUGUUGGGUUGUUUGCAGCCCUUGUGGCUGCAGUGAAAAGUCUGGAUGUCUGAAGGACAGUCCCCCAGAGAUACAAAACUGGAAAAGCAAGUCAAAACAAACCAGAAUUUUACUAUGUGUCAAGAUUUCUAAUUCAAACCUUCUGGGUUUAGGUUUCGCUGGACUCAUCUCACAUCUUCAAAUGGUUAAGAUGGAAAAUGAGGAGACAGAUUGCACAUCUACAAGGAAAUUUCCUUCCUACAUUUAAGGACUACUUCUUGUGGAUCUGUAAAGUACUGAGCAAAGUGUCUGGGAAAUCAAGGUGGAGCUCUCAGAGGCUCUGGGAUGGAAAACUAUGGGAAAUUGGAGGUCACCAUGGAAACGUUUGCUGGAGCAGGAAAUGAAACUGCUGUGUUGAUCAAGUGAGUAAUCAUUUAUCUACAGCCCAAAAAGUGCAGUGCACCUACCCUGCCCCUCACGGCUUUGUCUCCUCCAGCAGCCUGGCCGGGGCUCUCCCUGCUUCAGAGGUGUUCUUUGUAUGGAACUGAGAGAGCCCUGCACUUCCCAGCUUGGCUCUCGGGGCUGUUUAAGGUUCAGAUGUCAGCUGUACCCCAGGAUGGUUCCUGGUUCGUUGUCAAUACUGGGAAGGGGGAUUAGUAUCGAUGCUUCUCCUGUUACCCAGAAACUGAAAUAUUAACUCAGGAAACCACCUAAGCUUAAAAUAAUAUAGAAAACCCCAAGGCCUUAAGUCCUUCCCGUGCUUUAUGCCUCUGUGAAAGAAUGCAGAGCUGGCCUAAGCACGUGCCUGAUGCCUUGUUUGUGACUCUGCUGUGGAGGCAACUGCUUUCCAAAGGAGCAGCUGGGAUUGGGUUCUCCAGCCUUAGAUUUGGGUGAUGUCACCAAUCCUGAAUAACAGUGGCAGUGCAGCACCACAGGAAUCUGCACAGUUCAUUGCUCCAGAAGGCAAAUUCCCAAUACAAAAGUGUGUUAGACUUUGGGUUUGUAACUUGACUAUUAUAUGGGAGAAAUGUUAGGGGACCAAUUCCAAUGAAUGUAUUUUCAGUAGAUACCACGGGCCCCUGAGCUGAGGCAAAUGACAGCCCUGGCUCAGAGCAGAAAUCAAGCCUCUACCACACUGAACUCUAAGAUUGUGUAAUUUAGCAUUGUUGUGAACAUUUAAUUCAAAUCUGCAAGGUUCCUCUCCAGGAAAGGCCAGUCACCCAGCAUUCUACACUCCAAAGUGAUUAAAUCUUCAACUGCCUAUGAAUAUGCAAUCACUUCUUACAGGGUUUAACAAAAUCACCACAGAAAUGCAGACCAAGCCUUCACCUGUGUUGCAGCUUUAACUCCACGUUCUUGCUAAUUUACCCUUCGCUUCUCCAAUUUCGCUUUGUCCUUAAAAACCAUCCAUUUUCUAACAGAACAAACUAUAAACUUCAUCCUCCACUCACUUUAUCAAACCAGCUAAAUAUCCCUUUUUGUUUCACAAACUGAAGUGUUUUACAUAGCUGCUUAGAUAACAAAAUUGUGUGAAUACUUCACACAUCAGAUCCUUCAGAUGCUUCCACUGUGAACAUAAACAAAAACUAAAUGUAAGACUGACGUUGUUCUAAACUGCAAAAUAUUUGAAGAUAAAAAUCCCACUCAGAUGGCUGCUUUCCUCACUCUGGCCAUGUAUUUAUGCCAAGUGUAACUGUUGCCAUGGCUGCCUCGUCAACUCAUUAAAAAUAACAGUUCCCUGGUCUCCAACUCCCCUCCGUUAAAGGAAAGGGAUGUGGGCGCUCUCUAAAUUGAAUCCAGACGAGCCUGUGUCCCUUUGCAUCACCACUUAAAAGCCACAUUAUUCAAGGAGCUCCUACCUCAGGAGUCUUACUCAGUCCCUGACUCUCAGAGGUAAAGGCCUGAUUCUGUUUUAGAGAUUUCUUGGUCACUUAGAAGCUUAUUCUGGAAUACCUAGAUAGGAGAGGAUCCAGGGAGAUACUGGAAGUGGUCUGUAUCUUACUAAGUAACAAAUGCAGCUAUUUCUGAAGGAUUGGCAAACUUUCUUGGAUAUCUUGUCCUGGAAGCAGAUGUAGAACCACCGUGCAGAACCUUUAAGGCCGUAUUGAUCGAGUCUCCUUUAGGUUACAGUUAAACCCUGAUGGCUGCAGCUCUAGCUCUGCUAGACCUUUCCUUUCCUGUUGCAGCUCAGAGCUCAGCUGCAGCUACCAUUUCUGGUUUGCUUUUGAAGAUGCAACAUCUGAGUAGCUGUUCCAGGCUACAGAUAUGCCUCUCAGGAUAUCUCGCCCCCCUGAACUGAGCCUGGAUCUGCUGUGAACCUCUGCUCUCUGGCCAACACCAUUCCAGAUAAAAAGCAGCACCGACAAAGCUACGAGGACCUGGCAAUUUAUGUGAGGGCAGGGAAAAAGCUUCACCCAAGGGCACUUGGGUUACUGAGUACACAGCCUUUGCAUGACAUCUUGACCCCUUCUGCCCCUGGUCUCACAGAACUCUAAUUGCCAUUUCCCCUAUUCAUUCAAAUCAAAUUGUACGUAGGAGACGCAGCAUUUGAAGUAAACACUGCAGCAGCCAGUCAGUAACAGGAGGUAUCUCGGGUACCUGUAAGCAUGAACUCCCCCCGCUUCACUGCACUGCACCAGCUCUCUGGGAACUCAUUUUUGAGAAUAAGCAUGAAUUGGCAAUAAACUCACUUUUUUAAUCAGUCACUGCAGCUGCGAGCCUGGAUUGCAACAUACGCUGUGAUAAUUCCUGUUUCAGAUGUGUUCUAAAAAUUUACAUCAACUAUUCGAGACUCUGCCGAAAUGAUCAAAUUGUUUGGAUUUAUUCACUGCUCUGGGGAAAACAUCCCUCCAAAUCUAAAUAGCAUUCAGAUGGAAGCUUCCAUCUGCUAAAAAGCAGGUCAGCUCAGCCACACUCAAAGAUUUUGUUCCAUACCCAACCCCCCCACCCAUCCCCAAAUCCCACAGACUUUUUCCUGAAAUUUCUCCCCCAGAAAUGCCUGUGCAGAGUUAUGAAGAUGUUUUGACUUUUAGGAACAGAUCAGGUGAUUCAGAACACCUCUCCCAGGAGGAGAGGCUGAAGAGUUGGGGUUGUUCAGAACCUCUUGCAGAAGGUUCCUCUGCAAGAGAGCUGAAGAGGGACUUCUGACAGGAGAAGGGGGAAUGGCUUCAAACUGAGAGAGCAGGGUUAGGUUAGAAAAAGUUCUUCACUGUGAAGGUGGUACAACAGUGGAACAGGUUGCCCAGACAACUUGUGGCUUCCCCAUUUCUGAAGUGUUUAAGGCCA